rnacentral:rRNA from 1 species
GACGAACGCUGGCGGCGUGCUUAACACAUGCAAGUCGAACGGAAAGGCCCUGCUUUUGUGGGGUGCUCGAGUGGCGAACGGGUGAGUAACACGUGAGUAACCUGCCCUUGACUUUGGGAUAACUUCAGGAAACUGGGGCUAAUACCGGAUAGGAGCUCCUGCUGCAUGGUGGGGGUUGGAAAGUUUCGGCGGUUGGGGAUGGACUCGCGGCUUAUCAGCUUGUUGGUGGGGUAGUGGCUUACCAAGGCUUUGACGGGUAGCCGGCCUGAGAGGGUGACCGGCCACAUUGGGACUGAGAUACGACCCAGACUCCUACGGGAGGCAGCAGUGGGGAAUAUUGCACAAUGGGCGGAAGCCGGAUGCAGCAACGCCGCGUGCGGGAUGACGGCCUUCGGGUUGUAAACCGCUUUCGCCUGUGACGAAGCGUGAGUGACGGUAAUGGGUAAAGAAGCACCGGCUAACUACGUG